rnacentral:rRNA from 1 species
AAUUCAUUGACCCUAGCAAGACUACCAAAAGCGAAAGCAGUUGGCUAGGCUAUACUCUUUGUUGAUAAUUAAUUAAUUAAUCUCUCUCUCUCUCUCUGAUGCUCAUACGUACGCUCAAGCGCUUAUCAUUCAUCAUCAUACUCUGUGAUUCUCGCCACUCACACAUACGUUAACCUUUUUGCGAGUCUCUGAAACCAGAGUUUGUUUGUUGUUGUUAUGUGCGAUGAGACGUGAGCCCGAAUGAGAGAGAGAGCUUGUGAGUUAAUAAUAGCAUAUUAAUUAUCACUUCACAAUGAAGAACGAAGGUUGGGGGAUCAAAGAGGAUCAGAUACCCUCGUCGUCCCAUUAAUUACAUCAAACGAUGGGUUCUCAAUUGCAAUUUCUUUUUAUAGAUAUUUGCAUUAAUGACCUCAGCCUACUAAAUUUAUAACUAAGUAUAACUUGGCUUGAGCUCGUAUUUCGAUACGCUCGCCAUAUCUACAUUAGCUUUAAUUUAUGUACGGUCUCAAUUGAAGACAUUAUGCAUUCUGUUAUGUAUUCUAUGCGUGUCUCGCAAUUCACAGACUCAUUCACACAUUGCAACAUUAUUCUCAAUGUUUGUACUGUUAUGUAGUCUAUGCGACACUUGACUUUCGGAGCUUUGCGCUCAAUUCUGGUGAGAUGUAAGCAUCUAUGUUAAUGAUACCCGCAGCGUAUACCUUUGGGUAUUUCGUCUGUCGUGUUUGUAUCUUAACAAUUAAUAAUAAUGAUGUGAAGCACGCUUUAGGCACGCGCUUACUGCAGAAAUGUCUGAGACAUUCCCCUCCGGGGGUAGUAUGCACGCAAGUGUGAAACUUGAAGGAAUUGACGGAAGGGCACCACAAGAACGCGUGGAGCAUGUGGCUUAAUUU